rnacentral:lncRNA from 1 species
AGUGCUGAUAAGUUGCUCCAAUUGACAAUCUCCCAACAAGCAUUGGCGCAAGAAUGCAGCAGCAAACAGAUUGAUGAACUAUUAGAUGGGUCUCUGAGGCUCUUGGAUAUUUCUAGUACAGUUAAAGAUUGUCUGCUGCAAUCAAAGGAAAGCAUGCGUAAACUCGUGUCAGAUAUUCGCAGGAGGAGAGAUGCUGAAACUGGAUUCACAAUUGAGGGUGGAAAAUACCUGACAUGCAGGAAGAAGAUGAAAAGGGCAAUUGCGAAGGCCUUGAGAGACUUGAAAGAAAUACAAAAUGAGUUCAAAGUUUCUUCCUCAAACAAAGACAAGGAGACUUUUUCCAUGCUCAACAUCUUAAAAGAAGCAGAAAGGGUC